rnacentral:tRNA from 1 species
GCAGGGGUACCCGAGUGGUCAAAGGGGGUGGGCUCAAGAUCCACUGCUUAGUGCUUCGCAGGUUCGAAUCCUGUUCCCUGCACCA